CACACACUACCUUUUCGAGAGAGCAAGAAUAAGGAAGGAAUUGGUGAUAAGUGGAAUUAAAGUUCUUCAAAUUUAAGCUAUCUCUGCAGAGAUCGGAGCAAGAGAUUCUAAUUAAAGAAAAUAAGCAAACGAGGUUGUGCGAUGAUGAGCGUGGUGGGCGUUGAGCAGAGGUGAUGAAGAUCUAUAUUUUGUACUCUAGAUGUGACAUGUCUUCAUACAUGUCAUUUUCCAUUGACAUAAAUGCUUCUGCUAAGAUACUAUUUCUUUUGAGUUA